ACUAUUUAGUGUCAUAGCAAUUUCCAUAUUGAGUACUUAAAAAAGACUGAAAUUUGUUCGAUUUUCAGGUUGAAGAAUGCUUGAAACGAGAGGAAGAGAGGGUCGACUUCUAUUUGGAAAAGAGGACAGAAAAGAAGUUGUUGGAGGCUGUGGAGUAUGAGCUUAUGUCUGUUCAUGCAAUCAAAUUGGAAAAAAAAGAAACAUGCCAGCUAGACGCAAUUCGGGUCUUCUUCUAAGAGCUUCAGGAAGAGGAGCGAAGGAAACAAAAACAUCUCGUAAAUUCAUCUUUUGUCUCGCAAGAAAUAAUGGGUAUCUUGAAUAUAUGUGUUGAGGAUGCAUGAAUCCUUCUCAAAACCUUAAU